CCUGUUGCCGGACCCCACAAGGCUUGGCGUUCCUUCCUCCUGUUGCCGGACCCCACAAGGCUUGGCGUUCCUUCCUCCUGUUGCCGGACCCCACAAGGCUUGGCGUUCCUUCCUCCUGUUGCCGGACCCCACAAGGCUUUUCCAGUUGUUUUCUCAGGAGUGGGACAGGACUUCACUAACUCAUGAACCAAGUAAAGAAGAGCUUCCCUUUCAACAUCUAACAAAGGAUCCCAUCCUUCUUCUGAUGCACUGUUAUCAACGCGAGUGCUGAGGGUUGCCUCGGCCGGGUAAAUAUCCAUUGACACAAUGACAAAUCUCUCCGGUGGCUGAGCGGAAUGGUGGGCCCUAGAGAAGGCAAGAAGAGGCUGAGGAGAGCAACCCCACAACAGAUGCCCAUUCCCUUUUUGACUAGGUUUGCAAAAGCCUCGUGUACACUCAAGGUCAUGAGGCUUUUGCAAAGAGGGGGCAUAUUUUCCCGGGAAACGACUUCACCCCAGGAGUGGAAUCCACACCUUAGUUCACAGAGCUCCCUUCAAACUAGUUACUGAAGUUGCAGCCCAGGUUUGCACCGGUUACCCCUAUCCCAUCUCUUGAUUCCGAGUCUGGGUGCCCAACCCCCCUCCCUUCCCCUGGCUCCGCAUCCAGUGCGGGGUGCAAAUGUCACGUCCAGUCCUGGCAGGGUGCAAGAAACAAGGCUGGAGCCCACAGUGAACCAGUCUGUAGGGCCAAGCGGUGGGGGCAGAGGGUGCGCUAGUGAAAGCGAUCCCCGCCCUCUCUUGGCCUUCUGCAGGGACACCUCGGCAUCCACUCACCCCCCUCAGGUGACAGUGUGGGAUUAGCCGGUCGCCAUUUGGGGCCGAGUAGGAAUUUUCCCCAUCCACCCGGAUUGGCCUGGAGGUGGCUGGUUUUUUGCCUACUCUGCACUGUUGCACUGGAAGGGAUUUCUGAUCUGGCGGAUGUUAGGAGUGGUGCCGCUAAAUAGUGUAGCCCCUUGGUCACCAUGGCAGGUCCGGGGGGGGGGGAUGUAGUGCCCCACCCCAUUGGUGGCAGGUGCGAUUUCCCCCAGCUACACUCUAGUUCUCUGCUAAAAUGAGUCAAUAAAGUGAUGGCCCUAGUUUCAACCCA